UACGAAGGGGGCUAGCGUUGCUCGGAAUUACUGGGCGUAAAGGGCGCGUAGGCGGAUAUUUAAGUUGGGGGUGAAAUCCCGGGGCUCAACCUCGGAAUUGCCUUCAAAACUGGAUAUCUUGAGUUCGGGAGAGGUGAGUGGAACUCCGAGUGUAGAGGUGAAAUUCGUAGAUAUUCGGAAGAACACCAGUGGCGAAGGCGGCUGACUGGUCCGGUUCUGACGCUGAGGCGCGAAAGCGUGGGGAGCAAACAGG
rnacentral:rRNA from 1 species